ensembl:lncRNA
UUGAGGAGUUCAGGGUGGCUGGCUUGAGACCAAUGGGGGUGUCGGUGAGAACACACGUGUCCAGUCAGGAUUCACAGUUCAAUUUGUUUAUUGGAGUUUCCAGUGAGGAUAUGAGUAGGACUGUAUGGAUGUGUGUGUACAAGCAUGUGUGUGUAAUAGGAAGGUUUGUGAUAGGAAGGCGUGUGUGUGUAAGGAAGGCUUGUGUGUGAUAGGAAGGCGUGUGUGUGAGGAAGGCGUGUGUGUGAGAUAGGAAGGCGUGUGUGUGAGGAAGGCAUGUGUGUAAGGAAGGCGUGUGUGUGAGAUAGGAAGGCGUGUGUGUGUGAUAGGAAGGCGUGUGUGUGAGAUAGGAAGGCGUGUGUGUGAGAUAGGAAGGCGUGUGUGUGUGAGGAAGGCGUGUGUGUG